rnacentral:rRNA from 1 species
CUACGUGCCAGCAGCCGCGGUAAUACGUAUGUCACAAGCGUUAUCCGGAUUUAUUGGGCGUAAAGCGCGUCUAGGUGGUUAUGUAAGUCUGAUGUGAAAAUGCAGGGCUCAACUCUGUAUUGCGUUGGAAACUGCAUGACUAGAGUACCGGAGAGGUAAGCGGAACUACAAGUGUAGAGGUGAAAUUCGUAGAUAUUUGUAGGAAUGCCGAUGGGGAAGCCAGCUUACUGGACAGAUACUGACGCUAAAGCGCGAAAGCGUGGGUAGCAAACAGGAUUAGAUACCCUGGUAGUCCACGCCGUAAACGAUGAUUACUAGGUGUUGGGGGUCGAACCUCAGCGCCCAAGCUAACGCGAUAAGUAAUCCGCCUGGGGAGUACGUACGCAAGUAUGAAACUCAAAGGAAUUGACGGGGACCCGCACAAGCGGUGGAGCAUGUGGUUUAAUUCGAUGCAACGCGAAGAACCUUACCUACUCUUGACAUCCAGA